GCCUUCUUAGUGUAGUGGUCAGCACUUUAACGCGUAACCAAGAGAUCCGUGGUUCGAUUCCCGGCGAAGGUG
rnacentral:tRNA from 1 species